UGUUACAAUGGCCGGUACAAAGAGAAGCGAGGCUGUGAAGCGGAGCAAAUCUCAAAAACCGGUCCCAGUUCGGAUUGUAGGCUGCAACUCGCCUACAUGAAGUCGGAGUUGCUAGUAAUCGCGGAUCAGAAUGCCGCGGUGAAUGCGUUCCCGGGUCUUGUACACACCGCCCGUCACACCAUGGAAGUUGGGGGCGCCCGAAGUUGCCUAAGAAAUAAGGUACCUAAGGCGAAACCAAUGACUGGGGUGAAGUCGUAACAAGGUAAC
rnacentral:rRNA from 1 species